rnacentral:rRNA from 1 species
GAUGAACGCUGGCGGCGUGCCUAAUACAUGCCAGUCGAGCGAACGGACGAGAAGCUUGCUUCUCUGAUGUUAGCGGCGGACGGGUGAGUAACACGUGGAUAACCUACCUAUAAGACUGGGAUAACUUCGGGAAACCGGAGCUAAUACCGGAUAAUAUUUUGAACCGCAUGGUUCAAAAGUGAAAGACGGUCUUGCUGUCACUUAUAGAUGGAUCCGCGCUGCAUUAGCUAGUUGGUAAGGUAACGGCUUACCAAGGCAACGAUGCAUAGCCGACCUGAGAGGGUGAUCGGCCACACUGGAACUGAGACACGGUCCAGACUCCUACGGGAGGCAGCAGUAGGGAAUCUUCCGCAAUGGGCGAAAGCCUGACGGAGCAACGCCGCGUGAGUGAUGAUGGUCUUCGGAUCGUAAAACUCUGUUAUUAGGGAAGAACAUAUGUGUAAGUAACUGUGCACAUCUUGACGGUACCUAAUCAGAAAGCCACGGCUAACUACGUG